rnacentral:rRNA from 1 species
AUUGAACGCUGGCGGCAUGCCUUACACAUGCAAGUCGAACGGUAACAGGUCUUCAGAUGCUGACGAGUGGCGAACGGGUGAGUAAUACAUCGGAACGUGCCUAGUAGUGGGGGAUAACUACUCGAAAGAGUGGCUAAUACCGCAUGAGAUCUACGGAUGAAAGCAGGGGAUCGCAAGACCUUGUGCUACUAGAGCGGCCGAUGGCAGAGUAGGUAGUUGGUGGGAUAAAAGCUUACCAAGCCGACGAUCUGUAGCUGGUCUGAGAGGACGAUCAGCCACACUGGGACUGAGACACGGCCCAGACUCCUACGGGAGGCAGCAGUGGGGAAUUUUGGACAAUGGGCGCAAGCCUGAUCCAGCAAUGCCGCGUGCAGGAUGAAGGCCUUCGGGUUGUAAACUGCUUUUGUACGGAACGAAAAGCCCCGGGUUAAUACCCUGGGGUCAUGACGGUACCGUAAGAAUAAGCACCGGCUAACUACGUGCCAGCAGCCGCCGUAA